CAAGCCUAGGGGGGCAGCAGUGGGGGAUAUUGGGCAAUGGGCGCAAGCCUGACCCAGCAACGCCGCGUGAAGGAAGAAGGCUUUCGGGUUGUAAACUUCUUUUGUCAGGGACGAAGCAAGUGACGGUACCUGACGAAUAAGCCACGGCUAACUACGUGCCAGCAGCCGCGGUAAUACGUAGGUGGCAAGCGUUAUCCGGAUUUACUGGGUGUAAAGGGCGUGUAGGCGGGGAAGCAAGUCAGAUGUGAAAACCACGGGCUCAACCUGUGGCCUGCAUUUGAACCUGUUUUUCU
rnacentral:rRNA from 1 species